GUGCCAAGUAAUUCUGUGAGAGACUGUUGUAAAGUUGCCUAUUGUAAAUUUAACACCAAUGAACAGGGGUCAAACCUGAAUUUGGGCCAGGGAUGUUUGUAUAGUAAAGAUCUUGUUGUAGGAUGGUGAUACCUGUCUUAUUUGAUAAAUAUAAUGUAAGCUAAUUAAAAAUUGGCAUUUUUUUGUGUAAAUAUAUUUUAAAAAAUCAUAGUA